UGGGGAAUAUUGGACAAUGGGCGCAAGCCUGAUCCAGCCAUGCCGCGUGAGUGAUGAAGGCCCUAGGGUUGUAAAGCUCUUUCACCGGUGAAGAUAAUGACGGUAACCGGAGAAGAAGCCCCGGCUAACUUCGUGCCAGCAGCCGCGGUAAUACGAAGGGGGCUAGCGUUGUUCGGAAUUACUGGGCGUAAAGCGCACGUAGGCGGACUAUUAAGUCAGGGGUGAAAUCCCGGGGCUCAACCCCGGAACUGCCUUUGAUACUGGUAGUCUUGAGUUCGGGAGAGGUGAGUGGAAUUCCGAGUGUAGAGGUGAAAUUCGUAGAUAUUAGGAGGAACACCAGUGGCGAAGGCGGCUCACUGGCUCGAUACUGACGCUGAGGUGCGAAAGCGUGGGGAGCAAACAGG
rnacentral:rRNA from 1 species